rnacentral:rRNA from 1 species
ACGGGUGAGUAACGUGUGGGCAACCUGCCCCGUACAGUGGAAUAAUCACUUGAAAAGGUGACUAAUACCGCAUGACAUCCUUUUAUCGCAUGAUAAGGGGAGAAAAGGAAGCAAUUCCGGUACGGGAUGGGCCCGCAUCUGAUUAGCUAGUUGGUGAGAUAACAGCCCACCAAGGCAACGAUCAGUAGCCGACCUGAGAGGGUGAUCGGCCACAUUGGGACUGAGACACGGCCCAAACUCCUACGGGAGGCAGCAGUGGGGAAUAUUGCACAAUGGGCGAAAGCCUGAUGCAGCAACGCCGCGUGAAGGAAGAAGGGUUUCGGCUCGUAAACUUCUAUCAACAGGGAAGAAAGAAAUGACGGUACCUGAAUAAGAAGCCCCGGCUAACUACGUGCCAGCAGCCGCGGUAAUACGUAGGGGGCAAGCGUUAUCCGGAAUUACUGGGUGUAAAGGGUGAGUAGGCGGCAUGGUAAGUAAGAUGUGAAAGCCCAAGGCUUAACCUCGGGAUUGCAUUUUAAACUAUCAAGCUAGAGUACAGGAGAGGUAAGCGGAAUUCCUAGUGUAGCGGUGAAAUGCGUAGAUAUUAGGAAGAACACCAGUGGCGAAGGCGGCUUACUGGACUGAAACUGACGCUGAGGCACGAAAGCGU